rnacentral:sRNA from 1 species
AAAUAAACCCGAUAGUAGUGGAAAGUUUUUAUUGUCAGUCUGAGCUUGUCGAAGACCAAUAAAAGCUUGAAACGAAUAGCGGGACUACAG